rnacentral:tmRNA from 1 species
GGGGAUGUAUAGCAUCGACGUGACCGCUCUUUACCAAUUGCAGACCAUCUUUGACUAAAAGAUGUAAAACAGAGUCAAAACACAACUGCAAAUUCUAUUCGCAGUACAGUUGCAGGUAUCUUGGAUACAUCUCGUGAAGCUUUAGCUUCUAUGGGUUCCAUGUUUACCCCAGCUCCAGCUCAGCUUUUAGCUUAACUGGCAUUUAUAGAGCCUCUCUCAUUGAUGGAACUUUAUAGGUGGAAACACAAUCAAUGUACAAAAGAAUAUUUUUGCACGGUAUUCUUCCAAGCAUUUGUGCAGGUUUUUUGGGAAUGGUUUGAAAAUAUUUCCACUCAAAAAACAACCAAAAAUUUUAUAUGUCUGUAGAAAUUAGUAGAAAUGUGAGUUUACGGACGGGGGUUCACUGCCCCCCAUCUCCACAU